rnacentral:rRNA from 1 species
AGAGUUUGAUCAUGGCUCAGAUUGAACGCUGGCGGCAGGCCUAACACAUGCAAGUCGAACGGUAACAGGAAGAAGCUUGCUUCUUUGCUGACGAGUGGCGGACGGGUGAGUAAUGUCUGGGAAACUGCCUGAUGGAGGGGGAUAACUACUGGAAACGGUAGCUAAUACCGCAUAACGUCGCAAGACCAAAGAGGGGGACCUUCGGGCCUCUUGCCAUCGGAUGUGCCCAGAUGGGAUUAGCUUGUUGGUGGGGUAACGGCUCACCAAGGCGACGAUCCCUAGCUGGUCUGAGAGGAUGACCAGCCACACUGGAACUGAGACACGGUCCAGACUCCUACGGGAGGCAGCAGUGGGGAAUAUUGCACAAUGGGCGCAAGCCUGAUGCAGCCAUGCCGCGUGUAUGAAGAAGGCCUUCGGGUUGUAAAGUACUUUCAGCGGGGAGGAAGGGAGUAAAGUUAAUACCUUUGCUCAUUGACGUUACCCGCAGAAGAAGCACCGGCUAACUCCGUGCCAGCAGCCGCGGUAAUACGGAGGGUGCAAGCGUUAAUCGGAAUUACUGGGCGUAAAGCGCACGCAGGCGGUUUGUUAAGUCAGAUGUGAAAUCCCCGGGCUCAACCUGGGAACUGCAUCUGAUACUGGCAAGCUUGAGUCUCGUAGAGGGGGGUAGAAUUCCAGGUGUAGCGGUGAAAUGCGUAGAGAUCUGGAGGAAUACCGGUGGCGAAGGCGGCCCCCUGGACGAAGACUGACGCUCAGGUGCGAAAGCGUGGGGAGCAAACAGGAUUAGAUACCCUGGUAGUCCACGCCGUAAACGAUGUCGACUUGGAGGUUGUGCCCUUGAGGCGUGGCUUCCGGAGCUAACGCGUUAAGUCGACCGCCUGGGGAGUACGGCCGCAAGGUUAAAACUCAAAUGAAUUGACGGGGGCCCGCACAAGCGGUGGAGCAUGUGGUUUAAUUCGAUGCAACGCGAAGAACCUUACCUGGUCUUGACAUCCGGAAGUUUUCAGAGAUGAGAAUGUGCCUUCGGGAACCGUGAGACAGGUGCUGCAUGGCUGUCGUCAGCUCGUGUUGUGAAAUGUUGGGUUAAGUCCCGCAACGAGCGCAACCCUUAUCCUUUGUUGCCAGCGGUCCGGCCGGGAACUCAAAGGAGACUGCCAGUGAUAAACUGGAGGAAGGUGGGGAUGACGUCAAGUCAUCAUGGCCCUUACGACCAGGGCUACACACGUGCUACAAUGGCGCAUACAAAGAGAAGCGACCUCGCGAGAGCAAGCGGACCUCAUAAAGUGCGUCGUAGUCCGGAUUGGAGUCUGCAACUCGACUCCAUGAAGUCGGAAUCGCUAGUAAUCGUGGAUCAGAAUGCCACGGUGAAUACGUUCCCGGGCCUUGUACACACCGCCCGUCACACCAUGGGAGUGGGUUGCAAAAGAAGUAGGUAGCUUAACCUUCGGGAGGGCGCUUACCACUUUGUGAUUCAUGACUGGGGUGAAGUCGUAACAAGGUAACCGUAGGGGAACCUGCGGUUGGAUCACCU